rnacentral:rRNA from 1 species
AUUGAACGCUGGCGGCAUGCCUUACACAUGCAAGUCGAACGGCAGCACGGGAGCAAUCCUGGUGGCGAGUGGCGAACGGGUGAGUAAUACAUCGGAACGUGCCCAGUAGUGGGGGAUAACUGCUCGAAAGAGCAGCUAAUACCGCAUACGACCUGAGGGUGAAAGCGGGGGAUCGCAAGACCUCGCGCUAUUGGAGCGGCCGAUGUCAGAUUAGCUAGUUGGUGGGGUAAAGGCCUACCAAGGCAACGAUCUGUAGCUGGUCUGAGAGGACGACCAGCCACACUGGGACUGAGACACGGCCCAGACUCCUACGGGAGGCAGCAGUGGGGAAUUGUGGACAAUGGGGGCAACCCUGAUCCAGCAAUGCCGCGUGCAGGAAGAAGGCCUUCGGGUUGUAAACUGCUUUUGUCAGGGAAGAAAUCCUCUGGGUUAAUACCUCGGGGGGAUGACGGUACCUGAAGAAUAAGCACCGGCUAACUACGUGCCAGCCGCCGCUGUAAUAC